UUGAUGUGCGUCUGUGUUUGUCCAGGUUGGACCAUUUUGAUGUGUUUUAUCCAGGUUGGAUCGAUUUAUCAUAUUUGAAUUGUUAGGUUAAUGAUUUAUAUGAUUUUGCCACUGUGUGACUUUUGUGUUUUCCUUUUGGGAAAAGAGUAUUGUUUUGGGAAGCAUGAUAUGUUUUCCUUAUUCUCGAGUCGAAAGGUUUUCCUCGUGUUUGGCGUGAGUUGUGCGGGCUUUUAUCCCGUGAUUUGGUGUGAGUUGUUUUGAGUUACUCAUACGGGCUUGCAAAAGCUUACCGGGUUUGUUGUGUGACAACCCGGUGCACUAUUCAAACGGUGUAGGGGUUAAUCCUGCAGGCCAGGGUAAUCGUGGCUGAAGCUGAGGUAGCUUGUUGGCAGCAGAACUGGUAGGAAGCAAAUUUGAUUGGCUUUGCCAUUGUUAUGACUUCCGCUUUGUAGUAAACUCUGAGGAGCUUUUACGUUUUAUCUUGUUGUUGACAAUUUAAUUCGUAAGCUUAUGUAAUAUAUGACUCUGUGGGCGGGUCAAUAUUGACAUAGUGGGUUCAGGGCAUCAAUAUGUAUGUUGUAUAAAGGGAAAAAGUUUUCCAGGUAUUUGGUAUUGAUGGCUGAACGUUCACGCAUGUAUAAUUAUGGGGUUAUAUAUCGAUUUUUAAAUUUUGUUAAAAAUCAGGGGCGUGACAACAAGAGAUGAGGAUUCCUCUAUAAAUAGCAGCCAUUCUCAACACCAAGAGUAUCACUUCCUGGCCUAUCACUUCCUGGCCAAAAGACUAAUUUGAAACUCUGCCCAAUUCACUUCUCAAACCUCCAUCACCUACAAGACCGUGAGCACCAUCCUUCCAUCAACCUACGAAGUUCUUAGGCGCUAAGUCAAGGACGCUCCACCACCAUAGCAGAGACGAGUUCAUCACCUUGUUGCCAAGCCACUAAGGAAAGCUUCAAAGUGGUUAAAUUGUGAGGCUAUUUCAACCGCAUCAGACAAUGAAAGAAUGAUAUGGUAAGGGUCGAAUGAGUUCAGUUUUGAAAUGAUUGGAUGACAGAGUUCAUGCUUUAAUUGACAUGAGUAAAUAUGUUUGGAUCUGUCAAUGGAAUUAUGUCAUUUCAUCGGAAUCAGUAUCGACAUUCGAGAGACGAAGAAGUAUGCACAAUGAUGUAGUCUACUGACAAUUGAGAUGAGAUUAUAUUUGGAUAAGGCACUUAAUGUAAGAAUUGAUGAGUAAUUUGAUUCGAUGGAAGAUUGUAUUUUGUCGAAUAUAGUCUUGUGGUCUAAGUUGAUAACAAGAAAUGUAAUGGGAUGUUGAGUAAGUGGGAAUGAGUCCCAUUUUAUAGGGAAGGGAGACUCUUUCCAUUUUUUUUCUUCAAUGUGGAAGCAAAAGAGUUAUUCUAGUCUUCAAAAGCUGAUCAUGGAGAGGCAUCUUGGCAAUGCUGGAAAGGUGGCUUCCUGGUGAGCUCUUGGCCUCCUUUGAUCACCACGGUGUAGCUUGGAUAUGGGAUUACGGGAUGCAUGUCGCGAUCGGGUCCCACCACGGCUCGUGUGUCCGCUAAGAGGGUGUUACUUAUACUUGGUAACAUUGUAAAUUAGUCAUGCUAGUGGAGAUAUGUACAGCUUGGAUUCCAUUUCUAUUGCAUCCUAUGUGAACAAGAUUAAUCUUAAUUUUA